rnacentral:rRNA from 1 species
GACGAACGCUGGCGGCGUGCUUAACACAUGCAAGUCGAACGGAAAGGCCCUGCUUUUGUGGGGUGCUCGAGUGGCGAACGGGUGAGUAGCACGUGAGUAACCUGCCCUUGACUUUGGGAUAACUUCAGGAAACUGGGGCUAAUACCGGAUAGGAGCUCCUGCUGCAUGGUGGGGGUUGGAAAGUUUCGGCGGUUGGGGAUGGACUCGCGGCUUAUCAGCUUGUUGGUGGGGUAGUGGCUUACCAAGGCUUUGACGGGUAGCCGGCCUGAGAGGGUGACCGGCCACAUUGGGACUGAGAUGCGGCCCAGAAUCCUACGGGAGGCAGCAGUGGGGAAUAUUGCACAGUGGGCGGAAGCCUGAUGCAGCAACGCCGCGUGCGGGAUGACGGCCUUCGAGUUGUAAACCGCUUUCGCCUGUGACGAAGCGUGAGUGACGGUAAUGGGUAAAGAAGCACCGGCUAACUACGUG